rfam:Dipodomys ordii contig_48816, whole genome shotgun sequence.
GGUGGCUCAGUGGUAGAGUGCUUGCCUUGUAUGCAUGAAGCCCUAGGUUCAAUUCCUCAGCACCA